ensembl:lncRNA
GACCUGUGAAGCUUUGAAAACUAGAGUGAAGCCAGAAUGGCUACACCCAGGAGCACAAAGGGUGAAGGGAACCCUCGUGAUGGCUUUGAAGACCAGAGGAGGCAGCGACUGCUGAGAGGAGAGCUAGUAAGGUUGGAAAUGGCAAUAAGGAAGACCCUCUUCCAGCACUAAGAAGCCGCAGCUGAUGAUCUGGCGGUGGUGGGGACACAGUGGACACAUCAAUUGCAUCAUAUUUAGGUCUUAUUUCAUUAAGGCAUGAUGCUUUCCAAACACAGCGCUUGGAGCAUUGCAACGAAUGAAUGUCCUCUAAGAAAUGGAGCAUCAAGGAGAAUAUUAAUUCUAGAACUCAAGCUGACAUUUAUAGCUAUAUAGCAAUUUUCUUUAGCUUGUUAUGAAAACUAAAAUACUUGCUACAGUAGCUAGAAAAGAACAUCUGCUGUGCGGUUGAGAAAAGUUCAGUGAAGUGUUUCUUGUGUCACUUUGACUUUCAUGUACUAACACCAUCCCACUGCAGUACAGAUUCCUGCUCUUCAGAGUUAGUUUGCACAGUGUUGACGUCAGAGCUAAUGGACAUUAUGAUGUACAGGCAGGAAAGUGUGACGAUGCCUUCCUAUGAAAUGACUCGAUACCUUACAAAGAUCAAGUCCAUCUGGCAAACCCUACAUGUCAGGCCUGACAUCUUAUUGAUUUCCCUUUGUCUAAUCUUAAAAUGUAUUCUUAAUGAGCCUCUUCUAUUCCAGCUGGAUUCAUUUCUUCUUGUCUGCUCUAUAUGCUACUCCCAUUUUUUUACUUCAAAAUGUAGACUCUCCCUUAUAGCCAUGAAAAUACUCUUGUAAGGAAUUAUUUGGGUGAGGACCAAAAGUCCAUCUUUGGAUAGAGGCUCUGUAAGUAAUAGCAUCUCAGACUGGACAGGAUUGAAAUCUAUAUUCAUUUUAGAAAAAAAGACAGUGUUUGAAAUAAUAGAAAAGGAAAAAAAAUGAAACAUUCAUACUGCCUCCCUACUUUCCCACUGUUGCUAAUUUUACACCUUUUGUAUAAAUACCUUUUAUAAAUUUUCUAUGAACAUGUUUUUUCAAUUUCAAAAUAAUUUCACUAGAUUUUCCUUUUUUCUUUCACACUCUAUCUUCCUUGAUUAAUCUCUUCAUCAGGUAAGCCCAUAUAAUUAAAUUUGUUUUCUCUGUGCUUAUAGAAUCCUGUUGACCUGUAUACAUG